rnacentral:lncRNA from 1 species
UAGGUGCUGGCUGGAUCCCUAUUAUGUAUAUAAAUAGUACAGCCGCCCGGCUAUAAUAGAUUUUUAAAUUUUUUUUAAAAAUAGUAUAGCCGCGCGGCUAUACUCGCUUUUAAACCCUUUUUUUUAAAUGUUCAGAACAGUACGGCCGCAUGGUUUGACACGUGGCGCCUAGGUGCUGGCUGGAUCCCUAUUAUGUAUAUAAAUAGUACAGCCGCCCGGCUAUAAUAGAUUUUAAAAAUUUUUUUUUUGAAAUAGUAUAGCCGGGCGGCUAUACUCGGUUUUAACCCCUUUUUUUUUAAAAAAAAUGUUCAGAACAGUACGGCCGCAUGGUUUGACACGUGGCGCAUAGGUGCUGGCUGGAUCCCUAUUAUGUAUAUAAAUAGUAUAGCCGCCCGGCGAUACUAGAUUUUCUUAAUUUUUUUUAAAUAGUAUAGCCGCGCGGCUGUACCCUGCUAACCUAGCGAAUUUUGAAAAUAUAAAAUCAGUUUCUUUACUUUUGAUUUUUGUUGCCAACUUCUUUAAUUUCAUAUAUGUAAUUAAUUUAUAUCUUAGCCUUUUUGAAUUACUUUAAUUAGUAAGUACUUGAAGUUCAAUUUUUUUAAAUAUAUUUGAAGCCCAUGAAUUACUUUAAUUAAGGUCUUGAAGGGCUUAAUGAAUACAUUUAGAGACCUCAAAGGUUACGUAUUAUACAUGUACGUACGUGUUUUUCAUGUUUAACACACGUAUACACGCACAUAUUAUGGAAUAAAAAUAAUAUAUAUUUAAAAAAUACGGUAUAGUGACCGAAUUUUUGGGUUGUAAUGUGCCAAGAUAUUGCCGAAUCAAACACAUACGUAUUUAAUUCGCAUUUUUUUUCCUUCCGUAUUUUACUAACUAUGAAUGAAUGUGAGAGCUCACUUGUUCUAACAAAAAUGCAAGAUAUAUAUUAAGUAAUAUCAUUUAUGAAGUUAAUUAAAAUAUUUAAUAUCAAUUAUUCACUAGAUAAAUAAUAGGUAGGACCUAAUUCAUAAUUCAAGUAAUUAAAUCAGGCUAAGAGAUUGUUUAAUUACUAAAAAUAACCUUUUUUUUUUCUUAAAAAACAUUAUUGACCCUUUUUAAAAUAUAAAAAUAGUAUAGCCGCACGGCUAUACUCGCUUUAAACCCUUUUUUUUCCAGAUUUUAAAAACAGUACAGCCGCAUGGUUUGACACGUGGCGCCUAGGUGCUGGCUAGAUUUUUUUAAUUUUUUUAAAAAUAGUAUAGCCGAGCGGCUAUACUCGCUUCAAAAAAAAAAUGUUCAGAACUGUACAGCCGCAAGGUUUGACACGUGGCGCCUGGGUGCUGGCUGGAUCCCUAUUAUGUAUAUAAAUAGUACAGCCGCCCGGCUAUAAUAGAUUUUUAAAUUUUUUUUAAACAUAGUAUAGCCGCGCGGCUAUACUCGCUUUUAAACCCUUUUUUUUUUUUUUUUUUUAAAUGUUCAGAACAGUACGGCCGCAUGGUUUGACACGUGGCGCCUAGGUGCUGGCUGGAUCCCUAUUAUGUAUAUAAAUAGUACAGCCGCCCGGGUGUAAUAGAUUUUUAAAAUUCUUUUUUGGAAAUAGUAUAGCCGCGCGGCUAUACUCGGUUUUAACCCCUUUUUUUUAAAAAAAAAUGUUCAGAACAGUACGGCCGCAUGGUUUGACACGGGGCGCCUAGGUGCUGGCUGGAUCCCUAUUAUGUAUAUAAAUAGUACAGCCGCCCGGCUAUAAUAGAUUUUUAAAUUUUUUUAAAAAAUAGUAUAGCCGCGCGGCUAUACUCGCUUUUAAACCCUUUUUUUUUUUUUUAAAUGUUCAGAACUGUACAGCCGCAAGGUUUGACACGUGGCGCCUAGGUGCUGGCUGGAUCCCUAUUAUGUAUAUAAAUAGUACAGCCGCCCGGCUAUAAUAGAUUUUUAAAUUUUUUUUUUUGAAAUAGUAUAGCCGCGCGGCUAUACUCGGUUUUAACCCCUUUUUUUGUUUUUUUUAAAAUGUUCAGAACAGUACGGCCGCAUGGUUUGACACGUGGCGCCUAGGUGCUGGCUGGAUCCCUAUUAUGUAUAUAAAUAGUAUAGCCGCCCGGCUAUACUAGAUUUUCUUAAUUUUUUUUAAAUAGUAUAGCCGCGCGGCUGUACCCUGCUAACGUAGCGAAUUUUGAAAAUAUAAAAUCAGUUUCUUUACUUUUGAUUUUUGUUGCCAACUUCUUUAAUUUCAUAUAUGUAAUUAAUUUAUAUCUUAGCCUUUUUGAAUUACUUGAAUUAGUAAGUACUUGAAGUUCAAUUUUUUUAAAUAUAUUUGAAGCCCUUGAAUUACUUUAAUUAAGGUCUUGAAGGGCUUAAUGAAUACAUUUAGAGACCUCGAAGGUUACGUAUUAUACAUGUACGUACGUGUUUUUCAUGUUUAACACACGUAUACACGCACAUAUUAUGGAAUAAAAAUAAUAUAUAUUUAAAAAAUACAGUAUAGUGACCGAAUUUUUGGGUUGUAAUGUGCCAAGAUAUUGCCGAAUCAAACACAUACGUAUUUAAUUCGCAUUUUUUUCCCUUCCGUAUUUUACUAACUAUGAAUGAAUGUGAGAGCUCACUUGUUCUAACAAAAAUGCAAGAUAUAUAUUAAGUAAUAUCAUUUAUGAAGUUAAUUAAAAUAUUUAAUAUCAAUUAUUCACUAGAUAAAUAAUAGGUAGGACCUAAUUCAUAAUUCAAGUAAUUAAAUCAGGCUAAGAGAUUGUUUAAUUACUAAAAAUAACCUUUUUUUUUUCUUAAAAAACAUUAUUGACCCUUUUUAAAAUAUAAAAAUAGUAUAGCCGCACGGCUAUACGCGCUUUAAACCCUUUUUUUUCCAGAUUUUAAAAACAGUACAGCCGCAUGGUUUGACACGUGGCGCCUAGGUGCUGGCUAGAUUUUUUAAAUUUUUUUUAAAAUAGUAUAGCCGAGCGGCUAUACUCGCUUUUAACCCCUUUUUUUUUUUGAAAAAAAAAAUGUUCAGAACUGUACAGCCGCAAGGUUUGACACGUGGCGCCUAGGUGCUGGCUGGAUCCCUAUUAUGUAUAUAAAUAGUACAGCCGCCCGGCUAUAAUAGAUUUUUAAAUUUUUUUUAAAAAUAGUAUAGCCGCGCGGCUAUACUCGCUUUUAAACCCUUUUUUUUUUUUUUUUUUUUUUUUUAUAAAUGUUCAGAACAGUACGGCCGCAUGGUUUGACACGUGGCGCCUAGGUGCUGGCUGGAUCCCUAUUAUGUAUAUAAAUAGUACAGCCGCCCGGCUAUAAUAGAUUUUUAAAAUUUUUUUUUUGAAAUAGUAUAGCCGCGCGGCUAUACUCGGUUUUAACCCCUUUUUGUUUUUUUUAAAAUGUUCAGAACAGUACGGCCGCAUGGUUUGACACGUGGCGCCUAGGUGCUGGCUGGAUCCCUAUUGUGUAUAUAAAUAGUAUAGCCGCCCGGCUAUACUAGAUUUUCUUAAUUUUUUUUUAAAUAGUAUAGCCGCGCGGCUGUACCCUGCUAACCUAGCGAAUUUUGAAAAUAUAAAAUCAGUUUCUUUACUUUUGAUUUUUGUUGCCAACUUCUUUAAUUUCAUAUAUGUAAUUAAUUUAUAUCUUAGCCUUUUUGAAUUACUUGAAUUAGUAAGUACUUGAAGUUCAAUUUUUUUAAAUAUAUUUGAAGCCCUUGAAUUACUUUAAUUAAGGUCUUGAAGGGCUUAAUGAAUACAUUUAGAGACCUCGAAGGUUACGUAUUAUACAUGUACGUACGUGUUUUUCAUGUUUAACACACGUAUACACGCACAUAUUAUGGAAUAAAAAUAAUAUAUAUUUAAAAAAUACAGUAUAGUGACCGAAUUUUUGGGUUGUAAUGUGCCAAGAUAUUGCCGAAUCAAACACAUACGUAUUUAAUUCGCAUUUUUUUCCCUUCCGUAUUUUACUAACUAUGAAUGAAUGUGAGAGCUCACUUGUUCUAACAAAAAUGCAAGAUAUAUAUUAAGUAAUAUCAUUUAUGAAGUUAAUUAAAAUAUUUAAUAUCAAUUAUUCACUAGAUAAAUAAUAGGUAGGACCUAAUUCAUAAUUCAAGUAAUUAAAUCAGGCUAAGAGAUUGUUUAAUUACUAAAAAUAACCUUUUUUUUUUCUUAAAAAACAUUAUUGACCCUUUUUAAAAUAUAAAAAUAGUAUAGCCGCACGGCUAUACGCGCUUUAAACCCUUUUUUUUCCAGAUUUUAAAAACAGUACAGCCGCAUGGUUUGACACGUGGCGCCUAGGUGCUGGCUAGAUUUUUUAAAUUUUUUUUAAAAUAGUAUAGCCGAGCGGCUAUACUCGCUUUUAACCCCUUUUUUUUUUUGAAAAAAAAAAAUGUUCAGAACUGUACAGCCGCAAGGUUUGACACGUGGCGCCUAGGUGCUGGCUGGAUCCCUAUUAUGUAUAUAAAUAGUACAGCCGCCCGGCUAUAAUAGAUUUUUAAAUUUUUUUUUUUGAAAUAGUAUAGCCGCGCGGCUAUACUCGGUUUUAACCCUUUUUUUUGUUUUUUUUAAAAUGUUCAGAACAGUACGGCCGCAUGGUUUGACACGUGGCGCCUAGGUGCUGGCUGGAUCCCUAUUGUGUAUAUAAAUAGUAUAGCCGCCCGGCUAUACUAGAUUUUCUUAAUUUUUUUUAAAUAGUAUAGCCGCGCGGCUGUACCCUGCUAACCUAGCGAAUUUUGAAAAUAUAAAAUCAGUUUCUUUACUUUUGAUUUUUGUUGCCAACUUCUUUAAUUUCAUAUAUGUAAUUAAUUUAUAUCUUAGCCUUUUUGAAUUACUUGAAUUAGUAAGUACUUGAAGUUCAAUUUUUUUAAAUAUAUUUGAAGCCCUUGAAUUACUUUAAUUAAGGUCUUGAAGGGCUUAAUGAAUACAUUUAGAGACCUCGAAGGUUACGUAUUAUACAUGUACGUACGUGUUUUUCAUGUUUAACACACGUAUACACGCACAUAUUAUGGAAUAAAAAUAAUAUAUAUUUAAAAAAUACAGUAUAGUGACCGAAUUUUUGGGUUGUAAUGUGCCAAGAUAUUGCCGAAUCAAACACAUACGUAUUUAAUUCGCAUUUUUUUCCCUUCCGUAUUUUACUAACUAUGAAUGAAUGUGAGAGCUCACUUGUUCUAACAAAAAUGCAAGAUAUAUAUUAAGUAAUAUCAUUUAUGAAGUUAAUUAAAAUAUUUAAUAUCAAUUAUUCACUAGAUAAAUAAUAGGUAGGACCUAAUUCAUAAUUCAAGUAAUUAAAUCAGGCUAAGAGAUUGUUUAAUUACUAAAAAUAACCUCUUUUUUUUCUUAAAAAACAUUAUUGACCCUUUUUAAAAUAUAAAAAUAGUAUAGCCGCACGGCUAUACGCGCUUUAAACCCUUUUUUUUCCAGAUUUUAAAAACAGUACAGCCGCAUGGUUUGACACGUGGCGCCUAGGUGCUGGCUAGAUUUUUUAAAUUUUUUUUAAAAUAGUAUAGCCGAGCGGCUAUACUCGCUUUUAACCCCUUUUUUUUUUUGAAAAAAAAAAUGUUCAGAACUGUACAGCCGCAAGGUUUGACACGUGGCGCCUAGGUGCUGGCUGGAUCCCUAUUAUGUAUAUAAAUAGUACAGCCGCCCGGCUAUAAUAGAUUUUUAAAUUUUUUUUAAAAAUAGUAUAGCCGCGCGGCUAUACUCGCUUUUAAACCCUUUUUUUUUUUUUUUUUUUUUUUUUAUAAAUGUUCAGAACAGUACGGCCGCAUGGUUUGACACGUGGCGCCUAGGUGCUGGCUGGAUCCCUAUUAUGUAUAUAAAUAGUACAGCCGCCCGGCUAUAAUAGAUUUUUAAAUUUUUUUUUUUGAAAUAGUAUAGCCGCGCGGCUAUACUCGGUUUUAACCCCUUUUUUUUGUUUUUUUUAAAAUGUUCAGAACAGUACGGCCGCAUGGUUUGACACGUGGCGCCUAGGUGCUGGCUGGAUCCCUAUUGUGUAUAUAAAUAGUAUAGCCGCCCGGCUAUACUAGAUUUUCUUAAUUUUUUUUUAAAUAGUAUAGCCGCGCGGCUGUACCCUGCUAACCUAGCGAAUUUUGAAAAUAUAAAAUCAGUUUCUUUACUUUUGAUUUUUUUUGCCAACUUCUUUAAUCUCAUAUAUGUAAUUAAUUUAUAUCUUAGCCUUUUUGAAUUACUUUAAUUAGUAAGUACUUGAUGUUCAAUUUUUUUAAAUAUAUUUGAAGCCCUUGAAUUACUUUAAUUAAGGUCUUGAAGGGCUUAAUGAAUACAUUUAGAGACCUCGAAGGUUACGAAUUAUACAUGUACGUACGUGUUUUUCAUGUUUAGCACACGUAUACACGCACAUAUUAUGGAAUAAAAAUAAUAUAUAUUUAAAAAAUAGAGUAUAGUGGCCGAACUUUUAAGUUGUAGUGUGCCAAGAUAUUGCCGAAUCAAACACAUACGUAUUUAAUUCGCAUUUUUUUCCCUUCCGUAUUUUACUAACUAUGAAUGAAUGUGAGAGCUCACUUGUUCUAACAAAAAUGCAAGAUAUAUAUUAAGUAAUAUCAUUUAUGAAGUUAAUUAAAAUAUUUAAUAUCAAUUAUUCACUAGAUAAAUAAUAGGUAGGACCUAAUUCAUAAUUCAAGUAAUUAAAUCAGGCUAAGAGAUUGUUUAAUUACUAAAAAUAACCUUUUUUUUUUUCUUAAAAAACAUUAUUGACCCUUUUUAAAAUAUAAAAAUAGUAUAGCCGCACGGCUAUACUCGCUUUAAACCCUUUUUUUUCCAGAUUUUAAAAACAGUACAGCCGCAUGGUUUGACACGUGGCGCCUAGGUGCUGGCUAGAUUUUUUUAAUUUUUUUAAAAAUAGUAUAGCCGAGCGGCUAUACUCGCUUCAAAAAAAAAAUGUUCAGAACUGUACAGCCGCAAGGUUUGACACGUGGCGCCUGGGUGCUGGCUGGAUCCCUAUUAUGUAUAUAAAUAGUACAGCCGCCCGGCUAUAAUAGAUUUUUAAAUUUUUUUUAAAAAUAGUAUAGCCGCGCGGCUAUACUCGCUUUUAAACCCUUUUUUUUUUUUUUUUUUUAAAUGUUCAAUGUUCAAAACAAUACGGCCGCAUGGGUUGACACAGUCCCGCCUAGGUGCUGGCUGGAUCCCUAUUAAUAUAAAUAGGACAGCCGCCCGGGCGUAAAAAAUUUUUAAAAUUCUUUUUUGGAAAUAGUAUAGCCGCUGGGCUAUACUCUGUUUUAACCCCUUUUUUUUUACAAAAAAUGCUCAGAAACAGCUCGGCCGCAUGGGAUUGACACGGGUGACACGGGGCGCCUAGGUGCUGGCUGGAUCCUAUUAUGUAUAUAAAUAGUACAGCCGCCCCGGCUAUAUAGAUUUUUAAAUUUUUUUUAAAAAUAGUAUAGCCGCACGGCUAUACGCGCUUUAAACCCUUUUUUUUCCAGAUUUUAAAAACAGUACAGCGGCAUGGUUUGACACGUGGCGCCUAGGUGCUGGCUAGAUUUUUUAAAUUUUUUUUAAAAUAGUAUAGCCGAGCGGCUAUACUCGCUUUUAACCCCUUUUUUUUUUUUUAAAAAAAUGUUCAGAACAGUACGGCCGCAUGGUUUGACACGGGGCGCCUAGGUGCUGGCUGGAUCCCUAUUAUGUAUAUAAAUAGUACAGCCGCCCGGCUAUAAUAGAUUUUUAAAUUUUUUUUAAAAAUAGUAUAGCCGCGCGGCUAUACUCGCUUUUAAACCCUUUUUUUUUUUUUUUUUUUUUUUU